rnacentral:rRNA from 1 species
UACAGAGGUCUCAAGCGUUGUUCGGAUUCAUUGGGCGUAAAGGGCGCGUAGGCGGCGGGGUAAGUCGGGUGUGAAAUCUCAGAGCUCAACUCUGAAAUGGCACUUGAUACUGCUCUGCUAGAGGAGUGGAGAGGAGAUUGGAAUUCACGGUGUAGCAGUGAAAUGCGUAGAGAUCGUAAGGAAGACCAGUGGCGAAGGCGGGUCUCUGGACAGUUCCUGACACUGAGGCACGAAGGCCAGGGGAGCAAACGGG